rnacentral:lncRNA from 1 species
AAACCCUCAAAAGAAAGCAACAGCAAGUGGGUGGAAGAAAGGAGAAGGUAGUUGACAAGGGAAGAACGGAGAAGGUGAUUGAAAGCAAGGAAGGAGAAGGUGAAUGGCGACUGAUGCUUCGAUGUGGCGGAAGACGCCGGUGAGUGCGCGGCGAGUAGCAGAGGAGUCCGCGUUGUUGGGUGAAAUGGGCAAUGUACUUCUGAGCUAAAGUAUGAUGAACUUUGUAUACUACAAGCAAGCCGGUAGCCAGUUUGCGUUGUCGGUUUUCUUUGAAAGGGGAAAAAAAAAAACUUUCAUUAGGGUUAAAUGCACUAAUUCCCUAAUUUCAUUCUCAAUUGCAGUUACUCCCCCACGAGUUCGUUUGGUUCAUGGGUUGGAUGAAAUAUGAUGGCUCAUUCUUGGAUUAUUAAUGUUGGAUUGAGUCAUCCUUGAAUUAACAAUCCAAAUUAUCUUAUGUUUGGUUGGUUCUAAGUUGGAUAGGAUAUAUUGAAAAAUAAUUCUAUUUGUGUUUAGUUGGAGAUUGAAUGAGAUAGAAUUACUAUUUUAACGAUCAAAAUACCCCUUAAUUUGUAGGAUCAUUUUAAUAAAGUAAUUUAAUAAUUUAUAACUUUUAUUAAAAUAUAAAGUAAUUUGAAGCUUUAGAAUUAUAAAGUGAAUCAAAAGUUUUGACAUAUAAAAAUUUGCAUUCACCCAAACUUAGGCCAUUUGGACUCUUCAAAAAUAGGUUUUAAUCUAGUUUUUGAAUCUAAAUUUGAAAUUCAAUUAAAUAAUGGGCCGAGUUUUGACUAAAUUCACGUUAAAUUGAAUAAAAUUCAACCCAUUUAAGAGUUUUAAAUGAGCCAAUAUAGAAGAUUUUUCUUUAGACAAUCUUGAACUUAUUGAAUCGCUCAUUCAUAAAACCCAAUUGAUAAGGUCAUGUAUUUAUAUAGAUUUUGGUUGAGAAAAUAAGGUUAGUAAGGACAAUAUAGUCCUUUUAUUAUGAUGUACGUAGGGGCAAAUUAGUAAAAAUGUAAAUUAAUUAAUAGGGGUAAAUUUGUCAUAAAAUUUAGAAUAAUGAAUAAGGGGAAAAUAGUCAAAAAAAUUAAUGUAAUUAGUAAGGGCAAAUUAGCCCAUUUAUAAUCAUUUACUAGUGAGAGUACGUUUGAAACCAAAAAUUCCAGAUUUCUGGAAAAAAAUUUCACCCUGUUCUGUCCGGUUCCAGUUCGUGUGGUUAGAGGUCGAAUUAGGCUUGGCAUCAUGUUUAACGUAUUGAAUUGACUAUCUGACUAUGUGUUCGGAAUCUCACUGAGCUUUUAGCUCACCCCUUUAGUUUUGUUUUCCUUAACAGGGGACGGCGAGCAGGAUGAGAGCAUAGACUAGCCUAGUCUAGUUCUUUUGUUAUUCUUUGUAAUGGUUCUCGCCCUAGUGCUUGGCACGGGCUGGACGUAUGAAGGAUUGAGAACCUUUGUAUAUUCGAUCUUUAUAUUCCCUUUUGGGAUGGCAAUGUAUAUAAGUUCCGCUUUAAGUUUGGAUCGCUGCCCUAUUUAUUCUUGUGAUUUAUUCCGAUUUUAAUUGAGGACUGUAGUGAAUGACUGAGUCCCGGCGAGAGUUGGGCAGGCGACCCACCGAACCCCGGGGUACGCCCUAGGGGGAGGUGGGGCCGUCACACAUUAACCAUAGAUAGCAAGUAAUUCCAGAAACAUGACAAUAUAAAGCAAUAAUAAUAUUCAUUAAAAGGAUACGUGCUCACAUGGAGCCAUUCAUUCAUUCAUUCAUUCUCCUUUCAUUUCCUUAUUCCUCCAUUCGUUUGAAAAUGCAUUUUGAUAAGUAAAACCCUUCAUUUACAUGGACAUUCGUUUAUUCAUUUCAUUUCACCCCCUCCUGGACAUUGGUCAGGCUCCACCAGACUACAAGGUAAUACUCGAAUUUACCAAACGUUCACCCAGGGUCACCAAAUCGCCCGACCGAGUCCGCUUCUGGCUCAAGUCGACCGGCAACGAAGGGCAAGGGCCCAAUUCAGCCAAACGGCUUACAUUCAUGCGCAACUAGCAUUUAAUUAUUUAAUCAUUGAAAAUUUCACAUUCAUUUAGGUCGAGUGCGAUAAAGUACACACUCACAUAAAAAACUCAUUUUAAGCAAUCAUUGAAAACAUUUAACAUGUUAUCAUUCGUGCAUAACAAGUCAUAUAAUCAAGAACAAGCCACAUAGUCAAUGAAAAUAUAACAAACAAGAAACACUCACCUAUUUACGCAAAAUAACGUCCAAAAUAUCCUUCCGGAUAACACCCUCAAUCACCAAGAAACCCUAAUAUAAUCAAAAGAACAUAUUAUGCUUCAACCAUCAAAGAUGUAAGUGAUUCAAAGAAAAUUCGAAUACGUACUAGUACAAAGUAUAAAUAUGAUUUUGGUAGUGAAAAGAGAACAUAAGUAAAAUAUUUGUAAAACUUAUGCUUACUUGUAAAACUUUAAAAUCGUUAUUUGAGUCGAAGUGGCAAAGAAAACGUAUUUCUAGUAGUCGUAAAUUUCAUUUUUCCAAGGGUACAAGUUUCGGCCGAAUUCUAACUUAUAUACCUCGAUAAAAGAAGAUGUAAAUCCCCUAGAUGGUUCACGUGGUAUUCGCUCUCAAGCCUUACUCAAGUCGAAAGUAUAACGAUCUAGUUCUCGAGCGUAAAUUUGGGCAGCACGCCCUUUGUAUUUACCCAUUUUUCCGGCAUUUAUGGCUUCAUUCUUCAGCCCCAAAGUCAUACACAAAAUCAUCUCAUUUCAAUAGCCGUUCAAUAGGCUCAAAGUCAUACAAGUACAAAAUCAAACUAGGAAAAUGUCCGGAAAUGAAGUUUAAGUUAUAAAACAAAAGACAGAUUUGCCGUCGCUUAGCAUAACGGGCACAAUCAAAGAUACGCUUAUUGGAUUGGGGUGAAAUUUAUACCAUGUCGAAGAUAAGACAAAGGCCUACAACUUUGAUGAAGAUGACUCAGUCCAGUUUGUAGUGUAUCUAAGUCAAAAUUUCAAUUUACCGAACCAGAAUCUCACAUUCGGGUUAGUUAACCGCACUAUACGUAACCGACAAUAACUCAGGCUACCGAAGUCCGAUUAAGGCAUUUUCAGGGCCAUUGGAAAGCUAAGACAUAGCACUACAACUUUCAUGUUUUGGAUAAAUGCUAGUUCAGUGCGUAUCAAGGUGAAAAUACACGAUCAGAUUGGUGAAAUAUUCAAAACUAAUCACUGGAUUCACCUAGGAUAGUCAGGGUAUUUUGGUAUUUUAACAGGCUAAAUUGCUCCGAUUGAGCUGAAAUUUUACAGGUAACUAUAAAAUAUCAUUCUCUACAACUUUCAUGUUUUGUACUAAGCCUAAUUCGGCCUCUAACCUAGUCAAAAAAAACCUGUCAAAACAGGGGAGGUGAAAAACCCUAAGACUGAAAUUUCCAUAAUACUACUUCCAACUAUGAAAUAUGCUCAUAAACUACCAAAACUACAACUUUAAACCACUAAUUAGCAAUUAAUUGAAGUAAAGAGGAGGUUCUUGGAAAAAUACCUUGGAAACUCAAAAAAAUGGUAGCUUAGUAUCUUUCCUCCCACAAUCACUCCACCAACUCCUUCAAUCUUCCUUAAUAAGCACUUGUAUGGUGUAGUUUCAAUUUUGGUUGACUACAACUCAAGAUUUGAGCAAGUUUGGAAGCAAGAAAUUGAAGAGCUCUCUCUUGUUUCUCCCCUCAAGAAAGUCGGCCAAGAAGCAAGAAAAAUGAAGAAAUUUUUGGUCAAAAUUUGGUUUUUAGUAAAGGUGAAAAUUAGGUCAAAGUCCAACCUCCAAUAGGUUUGCAACACUUGGCCCUUCUAGUGUUUUCUCUAAUCCUUUGGCUUCCAAUUGUUACAUCAUAUACAAACCUCUAAUUAUCCUCUAGCACCUUGUAUAAUAAUAACACUUAGCACAAAAAUCACUUAGUCACCAAAAUUAUAUCGCACUAGCGGGUCCCACAUCUAUAACGCACUUCAAAUUAACGUACACUAACUCAUACUAGGAAAAAUGAUUUUAAAACUGUACUUGCUUGUAAAAAUGCAUAGAAAUUUAAUAUUUCCAAGGAAAGUAUAAAAUGUAGGCAAAGAAAUAAAAUAAUGCUAAGCAAAUGUGAAAAUUUUUAGGUUCUCACAAUGCACAUUUAAUUGAGAAUUUAAUUAUUUUAUUAAAAUACUACAACAAUCCCCACUUAUUUUAAUAAAAUAGUAUAAAAUUUAAAUGGCAAGGAAGGACUAUCAUAUAUAAUAUAGAUAGCAGUGCCUUAAACCUAUAUUUAGUGUUGAGGUGAUUUCUAAUACCAGAGCCAAUAGUGAACUACAAUCUUGAACUAUGGCUGCUUUUGGGAUAUUGGAUAUCACCUUACACACACAAUAGUUCAGGUGUUCUCAUGAGCCAAUAAAGCUGGCACUUUACGGCCUUGUGCUCAAUCCCAGUUUGUCCAUGUGUGUAUAAGAGAACAAGUCCCAAUUCUCUUUAGGACGGCCCCACCCUGAACACUCAUAUAGGUGAAAUCCAUCAAGGGUGCUCCCGUAACUCAAACACCCCACUCAUAAGAGCUAUAGAUUUCAUUAAGAGCAAUAUAGUUCAACCUUUCUUUCGUUACAGGAUGUAUGCACAUAUAGCAUAAGGAUGGACCAUGCUUAUCAAAAUUUGUGCAUACCCAUUUCAAAUCACCAUGUAAUUCAUUUUUCCCUUUGAAGCGAACUCUUGGGAUCUCCAAUCAUUAUGUUGGGUAUCCUUACAUGUGAUUUAUGAUUCAUGGACUUUAGUCACAUCCUUCUCAUGGUUGAUCAUAUCUUUGCCUCAACUUGAGUUGUUUACUAUUAUCACAAAAAUAUAAACAAAGAUAUGAUCUCAUUGACACUCGAGUCAAAUUAUUUCUUCAAUAACACAAUAAUACUGUGAUAAUACCAAUAUUUUGUGAGAAUAUUUCUUACAUAAUUGCCAUACAAGUAAUUAUAUACACUUCAAGUGAAGGCCCAAUAUUUUCAUUUUUUUCAUCUUAGUAACCAUUAGUCUCACUAGAAAUCAUCAACGUAGAUGACCAUUAGUUUACUACUAGGAGCUACUUUAUUUCUCAAUAAUUGUCAAUUUCAUCUAGUAGGCCAGUAGUCUAUAACCUACUAGGAACCAUUUUCACCAUCUCUAUGAAAUUUUCAUAGAAUUUCUUUUCACAAGAAUAUGAAAUACACAUUUCAAGUUUCUUCACAUUAUAUAACGUUAUAUUAAAGGAUUAAGAAAUCCAAAAACAUGAUACUCAAUGUCAUUUAAUAUUGUACUUAAUUGCAACUUUAAAAUCCAUACCCACAAGUUGCAAUUAUAACAUGAUAUCACAUGAGAUUUGUAUAUAUAUUUUUUCAAAAUAUAUAUCCAUGUCAUUUAAUUGAGUAUCCUCAAGUAAUUAAUCUAAUUCUUUGCAUUCAUUUUCAGCAAACAAAUAACCCCACUAUUUUAAUGCUUUAAUGAUAUGCAACUAAACAUAUAUCGCAUUUAAAAAUCAAGUCCUAUGCAUAUUAGCAUAGAAAAUUACUAUGACCCCCACCAUUUGCCACAACUUUAUAACAUGCAAUAGAGUAUAUAUCUAUUGCAAUUAAUGUAAAUGACCCAAUUAAUCAUACCCAUUGGAAGUUCACUUUUACUUGUUAAGAAGGCACCUUUAAAAUUUCUUCUAGAAUGCAUGAUGGCAACUUGUCCAGUGCAGCAACAAGUUGUAAUUAUUCAGUAAUUUGAACUCCUUCAAAUCUACUUCUCCGGUGCCAUAUUUUCCUGUUAAGCCUUCCAAAAGUUUUUGAUAUUAGGAUAAGAAGUUUCAUAAAAGUUAUGAACUUCAUUAGAAAGGUUAUAUAACAAAUAAUUCAAGCAAUGGAAUUCAACAACUUCCUUUUUUGCUGAAUUUUUCUCACAAUAUUGUUUUAUACUUCAUAUAUCUUAUUGGUUGAGAUCUUCUCAUUUUUUCUGUCCAUCGGUAGACUACUCAAGUCACUUGAGUUGAUAGUAAGGACUUACAAGUUGAACUCCAUCUUGAUCUGAAUCACCUUAAAAUUGGUGUUCACCUGGAACAAAAAAUAAAAACAAAUAUGUAAAAAUAAAAAAAGAUUAGACAAUAACAAUAUAUUAAUACUCAAGUGUGGAGGGUUGAGGCACGGGUAUCUCACUCUCUUUAAGGUGAUUCAAGCCUCUGCUGAAGAAUCAACUCCGAUGCAGCAGGUUCUCUAGCUUGUCACCCCCAAGAUACAACAGCCCAGCCACACUUGCUAACACUCUCUCUAGACUCCACAACUAAGAGAGUAUAGCUCUACAAACACCUUUUGUUUCUUGCCUAAUUAUGAGAUAGAAAAUAGUGAAUUUAGACUCAAAAAACAUAAGUUGUUGUAGUAGUAUUUUUUUCAUCCCAACUAUGCAUAUUUAUAGGUGAAGAAAAAUUAGACAAAUAUAACCUACACUACUAAUAAGAUACCAAGUAAAUGCUGAAAUUAUUGGCCAUUCAAAACACAUUGAAAUUUGUAUUGUAGAUUACAAAAACUUAUUGUAAUUGAAAAAUCAUAAUUUCACAUAAUAAUUCUUUGGUCAAUACCCAUUCAAUCCAAAUUUGAAUUGUAAGUUACAAAACCUCAAUGUAAUUGAAAAGCCAUAAUUUCAUACAAUAUAUCUUUAGUAAAAACCAUUCAAACACCUAUAAAUUUCAGAAAAUUUUACCAAUUUAUUUCCCUUGUAACAUGCACAUUUAACUGAGAAUUUAAUUAUUUUAUUAAAAUACUACAAGGAAUGUUAUAGGAGUAGAUAUAGAAUCCUACCUUCUAACAGUCAAUAAGUGGACACUAAUGGGAUCAUACAAUGACUCUAAGAGAUUAAUAGUAGAAGAAGUACACUACAGGAGAACUCAUGGUUUGUAUUUUAGAUGUGGACAAAAUUUUGGAUUGAGCAUCAAUGCACAGGCAAACAGGUCAAUGCUCUUUUAUGUGAAGAAAAGGAUGAUAACAUCUUUGAGGAUGCUAUUGCAGAAUAGGAUGAACUAAUAGGAAGGGCAGGAGAGUUGACUAACAUGUCACUGAAUGCCCUAUCUGAUGCUAGCAGAAGGAAGUCUAUUUCAGUCAUAGGAGUUUUGAAUGGUCAAGUCAUAAGAAUUUUGAUAGACAUUGGUAGUUCAGAUAGUUUCAUUAACCACAAGCCCGUAUAAUAUCUUGAUCUACUGUAUCGAUAAACCACUUCUUUCACAAUAUCCAUGGCUAAUAGAAUUACAAUAAAUAGUCGUGCAUUCAGCCCAUAUAUUACUUGGAAAAUCCAUUAGUAUAAAUUCCAAUUUAGUCUUAGAAUUAUGGAUUUGGAACAUUAGGAUCUUAUAAUAAGGGUUGAUUGGAUGAAUUUAUAUAAUCUUAUCACUUUUGACUUUUAUUAGUUAAGCAUGGCUCUAAGUUGCAAAAAUGAAUUGAUUCAUCUUCGAGGAUCAAUUAAUGAGCCAAUACUACAUUUGGUAAGAUGCAAUGAUCUAAGGGAUUUAAUUCAAGAUCAAGAAAGGGUUUGUACAUCCAUUCAAAUGCAAAUCUCCUAUAGCAUCUAGUUAAACCAAGAAAGCCGCUCAAAGCUUUGAUAUUAACUAGAAUAGACCAAGCCAUAGCACAUUGUAUGUUGACAACAUCCAUACUCAGACCAUCAGCUGAUAUGGAAUCUCCCAAAUAUUCGACUCUAGUUUGAGCAUAAGAGUGCUUAGACAUUUUGGCAUAUAGCUAGUUUUCCUUCAAAGUAGACAACAACAACUCUAAAUGUUGUAAGUGAGACUCCAUGGUAGGACUAACAAAUUUCCUCAAAAUGGCUAAAAAGUCUUGUUCAUAAGUGACUCAAGCAUUGAUAAAGCCAAAUGGCUUUACCAAAAAUUCAAAGUGCCUAUUUGAAAGGCAAUUUUAUAAGUAUCAAUUGACUUCACUCUGAUCUAGUGGUAACUUGAUCUCAAAUCUAGCUUAGAAAAAUAUUUUGUCCCAAACAGUUCAUAAUUAAUUCAUCGAUGUUGGGUAUAGGAUAUUUAUCUUAUUGGUUGGAACAUUUAACUUUCUUUAACUAGAACAAAGUCUUCAUGAAUCAUCUUUUUUUCUUAACCAAAAGUACAAGUGUAGUUCCUUCGUUUCUUUUCUCUAUCAAUUGAUUAAUUUAAUUUUUUGUAAUUAAUUCUUAAGUUUGAUACAGAUCCUAGGAGGCGUUCGCGCUCUAUUUCUAGAUCCAACAAUGAUUCGUUGGGGUCCAAUGAAUAGAGUCAAAAUCAAGGAAUUCAUGUUGCAAAUCCAAUUUUCAAAUUCCUUGAGAAAGCCGAGCUCAAGUUUGUUAGUUUGUGACUUUGAGUCUUUAAUUGUUCAAGUCGUUAGUUUGGUUAGUUAGCUAACUCUAUGAAUUGUUCAUGAUCGUGUGAUUAGCUAAUGUUGAGCAUAGGUUCGACUUGAUCAUUAGUUAGUUUGUUAAUCUUGUGGUUUUUGAUUAGUUGGUAGAUUACUUAGCUAGUCUUUAGCUUAGAAAUCCGGCCCGUUUUAAGAGAUAAGGGCCAUGAGUUUCCAAAUUGUGUGCAAAGUCUUGUUAGUUUCCUUGUUCUAAUUAGGUUAGCAGUUGAGUCUUGUAAGCCUAUAAAUAGGCAUCAAUUUUCGUUAAUAAAGGAUAGACGAAUUUUCAGAAAUACCUAUGUGUGAUUGAGAGAGUUUUGUCUUGGAUUCUUUGAAGUGACCUUGAACACCUUAGAGUUUGUCUCGAGGGUUCAACCUGGUUUAUUAAUUAAAGAUCGCGUUUGAUUGUAGCCCCAUUCUACCAAUCUUAAUUUAUCUUGAGUGGUCCCUGAUCGAAUUAGGUUCCAUCCCUUAUACCAAGGUUCGUUAUCUACGUGAACAACGAGUUGAGGUUCAUUUGUGUUUAUAACCUGAUUAUGAUAGAUCCUUUCGCUGUCUGAUCGGAUCGUUUCCUCAAGAGUGGGAGUUAGGAGAUUUGAGUUCAUAUCAAAGUUGUUCUUUUUUGGAUGAGGAUUAUGUUGAAAUCAUGUCUAUGUUUUCUUUUCAUGUUUAUGCAAUAUCUAGAGAUAAAUCUUUAAAAGGAUUUGGUGAUAGUAGUCCUUAUACUUUUAUGUUUUGGUUUCAAUUUUUUUUUUUAACAGAUCAACAAUUCUUGUGGGUUUGGUUCCUUUUUUGUUUUUUGUUUUUUGUUUUUUUGGUAUUCUUUCCUUCUUCUUCCCAAUUAGUAUCUCUAUAUACCCAACUUUUAGAAGAUUGUAGAUUAGUCGGUUCUCCCCAUGGUAGUAAUUUCUCUACUUCUCUAUUUUCUCAACAUAAUACAUAAUUAAUUGUGUUUUUAUUGCAUUUUUUUCCUGAAGGAAAAUUAGUACAGGAUUAGAAUUUCUUUUAAAAAGCAGCAUUUUUGUUUGAAUUGGAUAUCAAUCAUAAUGCUUUAUUGUUUAAAUGCGUGUCUUAUGUCUUUGAUUUGGUUGGGAUUAAGAUAUUUUUCAUUAAAAGGGAAAAAAAGAGUGAGAUGAAGCUGGUUUAUUUGGAAUGGUCUUUUUUGUCAUUUAGAAAAUUCUUUCCUUAACAAAAGUUUUCCAAAACUAAAGACAUCACCUCUUAAAUGUAGAUUAUUUGUAUCACCUCUUUUUUCUAUCACCAUAUUUUAGAUUAUUUGUGAGCUCAAUUAAUAGCUAAAUGUAGUUUUUCUUAAUAAAUUACCUUCUUGUACUUAAAAUAAAUAUUUGCAUUUUUAGUAGCAAACAAAUAUUUUAAGGUACUUUAUUCUACGACGUUUUGAACAAUUGUGUGAAUUUUUUUGUAUUUUAUAGAAAAAUUGAAAACUUAAUAAAAUUUAUAAUAUAUUAUAUUUGUUUGGCUUCAUGUAAUUUAUAUUUUACGCUGCCAAUUAAUUAAUUAUAUUCCUAGCAAAUGUAGAUUUUUAACACAAAAAUUUAUAUGCUAGAAUGAAUUAAAUAUUAGGGCUAAUUUUAGACACCUCCACUGAGGUUUCUGACAGUCUCACUCCCCUCCCCUGAGGUUUCCGAAAUAUCAAAAACUUCCCCUAAAACUAGAUAGGCAGUCCCAAAUCCAACCCGAUUCAAAAAUAAAAACAAUAAAAAAUUGAAAGCUGGAGAGAGAAAGAACUUGAUACCACAAAUGCCCUCAUUUUCUUGCAUUAGUGAAGUUAUAGGUAAAUGACAACUUUCAAUAGCAAAUUAGCAUAUUUGUAGCCUCUCACACGUUUACAAAGCAUACAUAAAUGAGCUAAGCACACUAAUUUGGCAUCUUACUAUAUGAAACAACCCAAGUCAUACAAGAAACAUAGAAUCAACUAAGCAUAAUUUUGUAGAGGCUUAGCAAAUCAAGUCAUACGAGAAAUAGAAAAUUAGCUAAAUAUAAUCUGCCAUACACAAACAACAACUAUAUCAAUAUAGAUUGUCAAGGAAUAUUGAAAAUUUUCAAAAUUCUUAAAGACUAAACUGGAAGAGGUCUAAUGAGUUCUUCAACUCUUCAACAAAUGUGAGAAUCUAAAGCUUUUCCAUACCAUGAAUCAAGCUUUUUUUGCCAUACAUCAACAAUGGUUUAAAGAGACUAAUUGAAGUGACUUGUUGUACUUGGAGCUUUCUAAGCCAUAUAUCAAUCACCAAGUGCCGCCUGAAUUUGGCGUCAUUUUCUUCAUGGCAUUUUAGAUAUUAAUUAAAGGAAUCUAAAUUAUGACCGUAUUUAUAACUAACUUAGCUAAAUUGGUCCAUAUAAUUGGGAAAUAUUUGGCAACUUGUGUGGGUAUUUAAGUCUUUUACCCAUGAUGAUAUAAGAAAUAAGACCCAAUAUUCUGUCAGGGGAGGUAUCUCAUAUUUUGGAAAUCUCAAGGGAGGGGAGAGAGACUGUCAGAAGGUUUCUAAAAUUAUCCCUAAAAAUUACAAUUGAAAAUUUUUAAUAUCAAUCAACAAUUAUUUUGAAAGCAAAAAAUGUCAAAAUUUCAUGUAAAUAAACAAAUAACAUAGUGUAACAAAUCCUAUAAACUAACCUUGGGCAAUUAAGUCAAAUUUGUAUUAAUUGUAUUCUAUUCUGACAUUUAAAUAUGGAUUAUACCAAAUACUGACAUCCAAGUAUGGAUUAUACCAAACACUAGAAAAUGAAUAUUGCAUCCUAACUUGCUAGACACUAGAAUGAUAAAUUUUUCUUCCUAAUAUUUUGGGUGAAAAAUUUUGUCGAAUAGAAAGAUUUUUCCAUUCUAGUCAUUUUCGUGUAUCAAACGAGGGAUCAAAGCUUUUAAAAACAUCCCAAUAUAUGUUUUCUAAUCAUUAUUCUAGUCAUUUUCGUGUAUCAAAGGAGGGAUCAAAGCUUUUAAAAACAUCCCAAUAUAUCAAAAACAUACACCUCUUCUCCCUCCGCCAGCACUUUCCCUUACCUUCUCCUACUACCACCAUUGCCACUAGCACCACCUCCUACCACCAUCAACACUCACCUCUCCUACCGCCAUCACCCCCCUUCUUCUUCUUCUUCUUCUCUCUCUCUCUCUCUCUCUCUCUCUCUCUCUCUCUCUCUCUCUCUCUCUCUCUCUCUCUCUUCUCUCUCUCCUCUCCCCUCUCCCUUCACCCAGCCAUCCCCCUUUCCACCUCCCCUCUUUCUCCCUACCCCGCCCCCUCUCCCUUUCCUGAUCUGGUCACACCCUUCCUCGCCCCUGAUCUCAUUCCCCCAGCUGUCCCAUUUGACUGAGUACCACACGCUUGCGGAUGUUUUGGAACUGGCUCAGAAACUCCAUUUAUCAUUGCCGAAAAGGACAUCUACCUGAAUCAUUUUUACAUCAAAAAGAUAAAUAAGAUUCUCAUACAUACUUGAAUCCACACAGUACUUUUGUAGCAUAACUAUAUAGAUUUGUUGCAUAACAAAAUGGUAGAAAUAGACGUUACUUCGACCACAAAAGGGGAGAAACAAUGUUGCAAAUUUGAGCGUUUGGCUCUUCUCCUUUUAGAUUACUUAACAAGAUUGUUUUUCCAAAGAUUGUAACUCUCCUUUUUUUUUUUUUAGGGUUUCUCGCAAAGAAUGGAUCCAGCAGACUAAUCCCUGCACCCGACAACUUGCUGGCAGCGAGACUCAAACCAGGGACAACACCCCAUCUUCAGCAGCCCCAUGCCAACAGACCAAGCCCUGGAGGGCCCAAGGAUUGUAACUCUUACUUUACUAUUAAUUCAUGCAUGUUCAUUACCCCAAAAAGAAAGGGCAAACCCUUUUCCCGCGAACAAAAGACACUGCAUUUUACCUGUUACAGUAAGCAACAAGGUAUCGUACUCCACGAUGGAAAUUCACCAAUCCACGAUGUAGAUCAAAUUGGGUAAAAAAAUGGCAAGAGAAAAUCAGCAAAAUUUUUUAAAUUUGCACAGUAGCCCACAAUUGUUCCAAAAUAUCGGUAUCUCAGCACGGUGAACAAAAAAUUCUUUAGAAACCAUUUGGUCUCUCCCCACUCCUUGCCGAUCUGUUCUGUACAUCUGCAUCAUAAUGUGCAAAAGCUGCGUCUAGGGCCUGCAGCAAAAGGCUUGGUCCAUGAAUACACAGCUGCUCUGUCAAAGCAAAAAAAGGGCAAGAAAAUGUCUGGAUAUUUGCCAUGUUUUGUCAAUAGGAUUAAUGAAGUCAUCUUCCAUAUUGAAGUAACAUACAGGAGGUCGUCAAGAAUAUGCUCAUGCCAGAUACCCAGUAACAAAAUGGGUAUACGGACUCAGCUUAUCUGAAAUAUAUCUAACCAAAACAACUAAUAAACUUCUCUUUUGUGUUUCACAAAUGUUCACAUUUCAUGAAAUAGUUGAAAAGAUAACCUGAAGCAUUGGUUGCACAAGAAGCGAAACUUGAUGUCGCAAGUCUGACUGCACAGAUUCCUUGAUCUCCUGCAAAGUUAUAUGCAAGAAAAAUCAACUUAGAAGCAAGUAAAGCAGCUUUUAUAUGGGCAGAAAAAAAUUUGCUACCCAAGCCAGCUACGGAAAGAUACGAGAACACACAAUUAUACUGCACUAACUAUUUCACAUUAUAUUCAAGGUUUUCUUCAAUAAUAAACAGUAUACGCUUGUUAUUAUGCAUGAUCCUAGUGCGAAACUUAAAAAAAACAAACACAUAAAUUAGGCAAACACAUCCUUUUUAGCGCUUCAGACACCUUUUCCACCUUUCAUUAGUUUAGAAUAAUAACUAGCUCAUCUUCUUUUUGGCAUGAGAAAAUCAGGAGGUAGAGAUAGUGGGCUUUUUAGUCUCUUGAGCUGACAAAAAACUAAGAAGAACGAGGAAAAAGUUCAAAAGGUCUCCUGAACUAAACAAUUAUCAAGAAAUAGCAAUUGAUGAUCUUAGCAUUCAUACAAAACAAAUUGAUGUAUCUUUUGAUAACUUUUUUAUUUGUUUCUUCAUUAAACAUUUUACCACCACAAAAGUUGAAGCUUUCGGAGAAAUAUAACAGCAAGAAUCACGAAAUAAGAUGUUCUUAACACUUAGUGACUAGUAAUCUGCUGCCCAGGGAAGGAAAGAGCCUGCUGGCAGUAGCAAAAGGGGAGGGCAUCAGCAUCUUUUACUCUUCCCUUAUCCAUAAAGCUCCUGUAUCCAUAAUAUCACAAUACCUGUAGCUUAGGAUAUAUCUGGGACAUAGCAUCCUUCAAUUUGGUUGCCUACAGAAGAACAAGCACCAUAAAAGCUUAACUACAAUACAUCAUCCAAAUAGAAGUCAUCUUUAGAAGAAGCUGAUAAGUAAAUGAUCCAUGACUGACAACACAACUCUAUUGCAAAUUAUGUGCCACAUCCAACAAGUUCAUUACUGUUGAAGGGACAUAUAACCAAGCAAUUUCUAGAAAGAAUGUCCUCAAAUAGAUGUUUCCAGAAUUUUUAUUAUGACACAUCAUAUAUAAUUCUUUAGACUUACCUUAGUUAAAAGAUACUUGGUUGUAAUAGGAUAUGAUGACCAAAAGUGCUUCAAUAACUCCUGGAUGGAUGACCAGUGCUGAAACAAACAGAUUAUUGAUCAGUUAUCUCAUGAAUAAGACAAUAGUAUGAACACAAUUAGCCCAACUACAGCUAUUGGUGUCAACUCACAAGUAAUAGUUCCUCUCUGGUGAUUUUUGGCAAACUAUCCAAAACACUCUCGUUUGGAUUCCUCCCAAGAUGAUACUUGUUACUUGAAAUAUUCUGAGCCAACCAUUCAAAACCUACAUAUAAUAGCACCAAGCAAUUAUAUUCCUGUGUCAACGUAAGUGCAAAUCAACAUGUUUCGACAAGUGAGGAAAAUGACAGCACCUUAAAAGCAACUUCUGAAUUAAUUGUGGGCUCAGUCAAACCCUGAAAUUUAAUCUCGAGAUGCACUCCUUCAAAGAACAAUAUGCUUCACGAGUACUCACACUACAUUUUAAUUGUUUUGCACCAGAAACAGUAUCACCAAGAGUGCUGAAAGCAUUUGCUUGCUGAGAAUCGAAGUAGUCACGAGGAUCCUGAGUCAAGAAGAAAGAAUAAUUUGAGAAGCUAUAAUUUAGAAGAUCAAAAGAUUUUCAAACAAUAAAAAUUUAACCUUAAUACUAAGUGGUGCAACUGCAGGGUCACGAGGUGCCUGAAGAUCCUCAAUCUCAGUCAUUCGAGAAAUCCUCUCUAACCGCUCUUUGUCCAAGUACACAUCAGAUGCAUCUUUAGCUAACUCAGCUAAAGGGGAAAAAAAUUGUACAAAGAACUCUUAACUACAAGUUCUUUAGUUUUAAUUCAAGAUAAAAGUUUAAAGAACCCAAAAAUAAAAAUAAAAAUAAAAACAACCAACAAUACGAAGAGUAUUAACCAUGUUUCGUCCUUGCAAGUGCUUCAGCUACAGAUCUUGUAUCUCCUAGCUCAACAUCUACACCAAUUGGUCAACAAAAGUCAAAACACAAGAAAAAGCAUUCUAUAGUCACAUAUCACUCAUCCCAAACAAGAAAUCUACCACCGCAAGCAGAAAGACCCACCAAAAACCUUUUGUUAUAAAGUGAAAAAUAAGAGAUUCCUCAACAAAUGUUAUUAAAAGGAAACAGACUUUCAUUAGCAGCGAAUACUAGUUGGCAACAAAUGGAAAGAAAGAAAGAUCCAGGUACCAUUGAUUGAUAUCGAUUGCUUUUCAAUAAUUCCAAUCAUCUAUGACCGCAAUACAUGUUUAUGGGGAACUCAGCAGGACAUCCAUCUUGUCAAAAACUUUGCCUUGGGUGACAAUGUCCUAAUGACACAACAUAGUAAAUAAGUCCCAAUGGAAAUACUACCAAGCAGGGGGCGCCCUUCCGUUAGUUUAGUCACUGGAUGGAAAGAAAGCAGACAAAAACAACUGCAGAAUGGCAUCCACUGGUGGAAUAAAUAAACCAUCUUUUCAUAGAAAACAUUUACACACCAUCAAUCACUCUUACACAGUUGCAUGAUCAGGAAAAGAAAAUUGCAGAAGACAGAGGAAAACAUGCUAAUCAGUUUGUAUUCUUUAAACCAGAGAUGUGUAUGGUAUUUAAAAACAAUUGCCCAUUGUAAAGCACUUCUACAUACUUUCUCUCUUACUUUGAUGAAGGAUUUUUUUUUACCUAUAACUCUCCUUGAAGAACGACUGCUGCAUGCUGGUUGAGGUGUUGUGAGAAAGAUCUUCGGUAUGGUUCAUAUUGCGAGUCUAAAACAUCCUUGUUGUCAUUGCGAGGUAGCCCAUGGUCCUGUAUCUUGCAAAAAAUACUACAUGAGUCUGCAUAAUAACAAUAUCACCCUUUAUACCUCAAUCUAAAACCAAUCCAAUAAGAGAAGCUCUUAGAGUUGUAACAAAAGAAUAUUUUUCUGAGCAUACUUUGUUACAUCCACUUGGAUACUGGAUGGGAGAAAUAAGGAAAUAACAUGUUCUCAUUUGCAAUGAUACUGGCCACUUGGCCACUCCCAAAAUGGACAAACAUGGAAAAUAACAGAACUCUGCAUUCUUAGUCAAAUAAUGAAGUAUGGACAAGAAGCAGAACAAUCAGCAGCCUACACCUUGAGAGAGUUUAUAAAGCAGGUAUUAAAGUAUCCAAUAUAACAAAUAAAUGCCAAUGCACAUACCGGGAGAUGCAUGUAAUCAUCUCCUUCAUCAGCUUCCAUGUCCAAAGUAGGAUCCACCUGCCUAAUCUGAAAGGACAGAGAGGGAUAAACUAUUCAAAUUUAAACCAAUUCAAGCACAAAGUUUUGAGAGUACUUCUAAGAGAAAAAUUCAUAAGAGAGAACAGAACCAAAAGCAAAUAUCAUAGCAUAGAAAACAAAUCAUCAUAAUGCAGGUCACUCCUGAGAUAAAGUUGAGCAUAAAAUGACAUUCACGUAGAACACCUUCUUCCGAGCUUCAUUAACUAACAUGUCAUCUUGCUUCAAAAAUACGCAAGUUCCUCAUCUUCUGCAGCCUCUGCUGCUGCAGCAAUGACAUUUUUUGUACUAUGGAGGUAUUCCGCUCGCGAGUAUUUAGUCCAAAACUCUUUUUCAGUCAUCUGGCAAAGAAGACAUUUAAUGAUGAAAAACAGCACAGCAACAUUGAAGGAAAGAUCAGUAAAGGCUUAAAGAAGUCAAGUCUGUGGUGAAGAGAUCAGCCCGGGUAGAAUAACAAGUUUAACUCUACCUUGUUUGGCACAAAAUUGAGAUAUGCUUGGCGAACAGCUGGUUUCUCUGCAAAAAUCUAAAGAUGACUUAAGUUAGAUCCAAGGGAGGAGAAAAUCUUGAAGAUUGCAAAGAAAUUUUAGAACAGAUUUUAGAUAUAAAAAGAACUACUGUCACCAGACUCUUUCCAUUUGUCCCAGCUCAUGUUCUUAAACUGUCCCUACCUAUGAAACUUCAUAUCACUAUUUCAAAUAAAUACUUAUAAAUAGGUUAGAACUCAAAUAAAUUCAUGAACAUCUUUAUUUUUUCAGUCUCAAUGAUAAGGUUUUCAAUUAUUACAAGUUCAAUGGAAGCUCCUGUUGUGAAUAAGUAGAGAUUAGGAGCACUAGGUUCAAGUCCAAGUCAUUGAACAAAUUAUAGGCAUUCAACAAAAGUUGGUCAACACAUACAACUUGAGGGAACAGGAAAAGAAGUACAUCCCUAUGCUGGAAAAUUUGGAACAGGAAAUUGAAGCAGAAAUAUCCAUAAGCGUAGAGCAAUGCAAAAACAUAAAAGUACAGCAAUAAUAAUUUGGUUAAACAAAAUAUCCUACUGUUAUUCAUGAAUAUAGAAACAAAUAAAGUUUAAUUUUACAGAGCACUGCAUAUUGAAAUAAGUUACUCACUUCCAAAGCAGAAUAGAGUGUCUGGAUUGAUUAAAUGAAAGAAAAUCACAAUACCUGAAGGAUAAUCUCUGGUGUUAAGUUAAAUGUAACUCUGUUGGACUGCAAAAGAAAGAACAGGAAUUACCAGGAGCAGUACAUCCAAUACCAAAAUAAUCCAAUGAGAAGUUGAAAGGAUCAGCUUUAUAUUGACAAACAAAUGCAAAAACCAAAAACCUUCCUAGCAAAAGCAGUUAAAAAUAUAUAAUUUGAAAAGCAACGUGUAAAAGAGUUAAUUGUUAUAGAGAAUCAUUCCAUUAGGAUACAAGUAAGUUUGUUGAAUAAACUUAUCAAGCAACAAGCGCAAACAAAAGAAAAGGAUACAUGCAAGUGCAAUGUGCAAAGAAAAGCAAAUCAACAAUAUACCUGACCAUCAGCUAAAGGUUUGGUACUCCACAUAUCAUUUUUUAAUGCCACUCUUUGCUUUGGCCUCCUGCUGUAAUUCUGCUCCAACAACUUCUGCAUGUUGUCGGUAAAUUAAAAGGUUCUGUCACAAAAUUCGGAAUUCAAAUAUAAUUCCAAGUCAAGAAACUGCACCAAUAAGUAGUCAUAAAAAUCUGACAAAGGUUCUAAAAUAUGCAGAUCCUAUCUGGAGUCUGGACAAGCCUUCACAUUGAAUUUUUUUUGUCUUGUACAAUUUUGACUAGCAAAUGCAUUUCAUAGUUAUGCUCCUUUACACUUUUCUCUUUCCAAUUCUUGAAUACCUUCUCAUGGACAUAAAAUGCAAUGGUGUCGCAGAGCGAUGCUCCCAUAUAUGAAAUCAAAAACUUAUCCUCUUAUAAGUGACUAUUGUGAAUGUUGUCCAGAGAAAGAUAAAAAUACAGUAUAUACAUGUCCAAAAGCAACAACCAAUCAAAUCUGUUUACUUUCUUUUCAGUUACUAACCUUCCUCGUUGCCCAGAAUUCAGCUUCAGAUAGGAUACCUCCAAUCACAAAUUGCUUGUGAAGUUUCUGUAAAUCACUGCCAGUGAAUUUUCAGUUAUGUUAACCAAAAAAGUAUUUGUGAUACAGAGCCAUUUCUAAUCAAAUGAAAGACAAUUCUAGCAAUCUUAAUAUCAGUUAAAACCAAUACAGACUCAGUCAACCAGAUAGAUAAACCAAUUUGAAACUCAGUCAACCAGAUAAAAUUCAAGAUUAUCUAUGUUAAGGUUAGGAUGACAAACGCAAUAUUUAUCUGCUUCUGCAAGAGAGUUUUUUCAAAUAUAGCAGUUCUAAAGUGGUCACAUGUCACCAACCAACUCAAGAUUCAGUAUCCUGUAAUAGUGAAUUUUGGGAAAUAUAAACUAUUUCUGUUACUUGGUGACCACCUGGGUACAACUGUUGCCAGCUUUUGUAGAGACUUUACCGUGGUUGUAAUCCCUCAAUCACACAGCUAACUAUCCAGGACAGGAGAACGUACUUUUGACAUCAGAAUGCCAAGGACAGCAGGAGCUUCUAAAGGAGAAAGACACUCUUUUUUGGGGGCUGAGGAGGGAAUACCCGAUCCUAGAGGUGGCAGUUUGCAUUUGUAUCCACACAUCAUCCACAUAAACCCAUCUUAAACGGAUUUGGAUGGCUGAGAGAAACUAUGACUUUAAACAGAUGGCAAUUUAAACUUAGUUAAGUUACAACUUUAAAUGGAUUAUACAUGUCAUCCAUAUAAAUUCAUCAAAAAAUGAAAAAAAAAAAAAAUAAGUCCUCUCCCCACACACACACACCACACUCACACACUCAAACACGCAUGAAAACAAUUACAGGAUCCCACCUCACCUGCAAACACAGUGGCACACACUUUCUUUCAUGCAAAAAGAUGCAGUCACACAAAGAUAGCAAUAUGCCCUCUCAAAGAGAGUUAUUCGUAAUUAGUGGAACUCAGAAAGAAAUCGAAGCAAAAUGAGACAGUCAGAGCUUGGCAACAUUGCCAAAUUCAAUUCAAACUUCCUUUUGGAAAUUAAUGAAUUAGACAUGCAGUAGUAGCCGACCAUUCUAUGGAAAAUUUGACCACUGUAAAUCCUAGGAACUUCUACGGAAAAUUUGACCACUGUAAAUUCUAGGAACUAGGUUUUAGGAGUAAAUGGUUAAUUAAGUGGAUAAAGAUUUGGCAUUAUCCACUUAAUCCAUCCAUUUAGAUCCAUUAAUGAAAUCGUUGUAAUUGGAGUGGAUUAAAUAUAUCCACUAUUUAUCUAAGUGAAGCCAUUUAUCAAAUAUUUAUCCACUUUGCCACUUCUGUAGCAAGCCCACUUUUGGCCACUAAGAUAUUUUGAUUUCAUAUCCCACAUUCAGCAUUCAAAGUUCUAAAGCGGUCACUUUGGCCAAGUCGAGACAUCAAACAAGCAACACACCAUAUCAGAUGAUCUGCUUUAAAUUAACUGUAUGAAAUUAGACAGAGCAGCCAAAAGUGUACUACUUUAGAAGUUGAGUGGGUGGUUUGAAAAAGUUAAUAGUUUAACAGCCAAAAGUGAACAGCUUAGCGCCCGUUUAUGUAUUCUUCCCACCCCUUUCUGUCAGAGAAAAAAUUCCCAGGUGUAAUGUAUAUGCUGAAUUUCUAUAUAAUCAAUCUAAAAUGCAGCAAUGCACCUAAGAUAUUAAUGAAACACAAAUGUUCCUCAAUAAGAUUAAGGAUGCAGCAGCAUUACACAGAUAUAGGAAGGAAAGGGGUAUAGCACUUCUACCUAUCCUCCUGCAGUAGCUUAAUACGACGCUCCAUUUCAGCCGCACUAAGUUGCUCAUCUUGAAUCGGAACAGCAGAUUUUUCAGGAACUGUUCUCCCAGCUUCUCCGGAUAGUGCAAUAGCUGAGGCUGUUCUUCAUUCAGAUAUGCAUUAUUUCCAUAGAAACAAUACAUUAAUUAGAUUUAAAAAAAAUUGAAAAGUUCCAAGUACAAAUGCAUAGACAUCAUAUGAAGAAUGGUUAAUGCAAUCUCAUUUACAUAUUAAGCACUAGAUGGUCAGCAUCACAAAUGGUCAGCACAGUAAAGCCAUAAUUAUUUUCAUGAUAAGUUAAGAGUGCAGGAUAACUGAUUAGUAACUGUAAUUUCACUACCUGGUUGUGUACCAAGUUCUUUCAACUGUAAGUCUUUUCUAUACCAAACAACGUAGACCAUAGCACUUUAUAUGAGCAAGUGAAGAUAUAUACGUGCCAUAUGAAGAAUUCGUUUUACAAGAUGGUGCAUAUAACAUUGAAUCUCCUUUUAAAAGUCACCAAAAGAAGAUUAAGACAGAAGCAGAUAGCAACUAUUCCCAAAGUUCAUAUAAUGGUCUAGAGGCCACAUGCCAAUCCUUGUGUAGGAUCAAGGUAUCAAUUGGAAACAUGAUGUCAGUUACUAGGCUCUGAUUGCUAGUUACAAAUAGAGGCAAAGAACCUAGGUCACCAGAUAAGUCCUGAUUUUCACUUCCAAGCUGUCAAUUAGUACAGGUAUUUCAAAGUUUCAACUAAGUUUGGCAUGAAUCUAAAGGCUCACAACAGCUUAAUAAUCAAAAUUUGUCAAGUACCAGACUACUUCGGUAACUUGAUGCAGAUAUGGAUAGUGAUUAUGGUUUGAAAAAAAAAAAAAUUCUCAAACUUUAGUUCUGAGCACAAGUACGAAUUAGAUGGUAAACAAAGGAAGGGGAAUUUCAUUUUUACUUAUUAACCAAUGGCCCGAUUUUUCUUAAAAAUAAACAAAAAAGGGAAAAAAAAAAGUUUGUACUCAUAUAUGCAUGUGUACCUUAUAAGCAUCUACAGUGCGUAUUUGAUACACGAAGAUAUUAUACACACUUAAACACAGAUCCAGAGGGCAUCAUAUGUACAACUGAAGUCAAGCACAUAAUAAUAGAGUAAUUUAAGCUCUUGUAUCCCACCUACAAAAUCCUUGCAAACAUUGCGGUCUGGGAAGUUCUCAAACUCAAAAAUGUAAUUGCCACCCUGUCAUAGUUAAGCUCAUACAGUCACGUCUAGCUCGAAAGGAAUAAAUGCAACAGUUUACAGGAGUUACAGCUGUGCAGUAAAAGUGACCUAGUCAAAGCAUUGAACCUGAUCCUGAGUAAGGUUAAGGAGGGCUUGCUUAGUUCCAUCCUUGGUGAAUUUGUGCCCUGAAAAUUUCAACAUGUCCAUCAAUCUAUACUACACUGCUAGACAGAUCACAUCCGAAAAAAAAAAAUUAUGGGCAUGUAGAAAUGGGACUCAUACAGAUUUCAUGACCAGCUUAUUAAUAGUUUCUUUCUACUUAUUGGUCCAAAUACUGAAGUGACAAUCCAGGGACUGAUCCAUCUGAUAGUAGUCCAAUUCCACAAAUUUAAGGACAUUAAUCAAGACAACUCAGCGCCUUAAAAAAGAAAGGAUCAGCAGAACAGCAGCACCUUUAAUUGUUCUGAACUCUACAUUAAGUUUCACAGGUGAACUCGGAUCAUUUGCCAUGAAAGUAAACCUAUCUUUAGUCUGCAAAACAGCCAAAAAAAGAAAUGGAAAAUAACUACUAGAAUGUCAGAAGGCAUAUAGUUAGACAAAACAACUAAAUAGAUAUGCAAUUAUCCAAAUGAGUUCUAACUGUUGAAAAUAAAUGAUAAAUUACCAUUUUCAAAACGCCAGGUGUUCCAGGGUCCUUCACAGAUGACUUGUGCCUGGCUCUCUUAACCACCACCUGCUGCUGCUUAUCUGCCAUACAGUCAGCACAAUAAUGUGCACGGAUACAGACCGAAAAAAUGAAUCCAAUUCCGGAAAGGAAAAAUAGUCCUUAUGCUCCUUUACUUGAGCAAGGCCCUAUACCAAAACGAAGCAGAAGUUUCGAUUAGAUUGGGAAAUUGGCAAUUUUCUCCAAGAAAACAUUAUUAUAAUAGGCAGACUUCUUCAACUUUGUGUUCAGCAAUUAAAAAAAAAAUGAAAAUCCUCGAUCAACCGCGUUUCAACUCUGGACCAAAUCAAAAACCUUUCUACUAAAAUUAUGAAAAGAAAAUGAAGAUCCUCCAAAAACAUCCCAAAACAGUGACAAAUAAAAUAAAAUGGACAAACUUAAUGAAAGGAAAAUAAACCAAGGACAAUAAGAAAUUAAUCUCCAUACCAAUCUUUAGGCAAACUAGUCUCAUUAAAAAUCAAAAGAAAGCAACAGCAAGUGGGUGGAAGAAAGGAGAAGGUAGUUGACAAGGGAAGAACGGAGAAGGUGAUUGAAAGCAAGGAAGGAGAAGGUGAAUGGCGACUGAUGCUUCGAUGUCGCGGAAGACGCCGGUGAGUGCGCGGCGAGAAGCAGAGGAGUCCGCGUUGUUGGGUGAAAUGGGCAAUGUACUUCUGAGCUAAAGU